rnacentral:rRNA from 1 species
GACGAACGCUGGCGGCGUGCCUAAUACAUGCAAGUUGAGCGCUGAAGGUUGGUACUUGUACCAACUGGAUGAGCAGCGAACGGGUGAGUAACGCGUGGGUAAUCUGCCUUUGAGCGGGGGACAACAUUUGGAAACGAAUGCUAAUACCGCAUAAAAACUUUAAACACAAGUUUUAAGUUUGAAAGAUGCAAUUGCAUCACUCAAAGAUGAUCCCGCGUUGUAUUAGCUAGUUGGUGAGGUAAAGGCUCACCAAGGCGAUGAUACAUAGCCGACCUGAGAGGGUGAUCGGCCAAAUUGGGACUGGGACACGGCCCAAACUCCUACGGGAGGCAGCAGUAGGGAAUCUUCGGCAAUGGACGAAAGUCUGACCGGGCAACGCCGCGUGAGUGAAGAAGGUUUUCGGAUCGUAAAACUCUGUUGGUAAGGAAGAACGUUGGUGGGAGUGGAAAGCUCAUCAAGUGACGGUAACUACCCAGAAAGGGACGGCUAACUACGUG